CAAUCAGAUAGACUUCAUCAUCUGCCUGGGGGGAGACGGGACGCUGCUGUACGCUUCCUCGCUUUUCCAGGGCAGCGUCCCUCCGGUCAUGGCCUUCCACCUGGGCUCCCUGGGCUUCCUGACCCCAUUCAGCUUUGAGAACUUUCAGUCCCAAGUUACUCAGGUGAUAGAGGGGAACGCAGCUGUUGUUCUCCGGAGUCGGCUGAAGGUCAGGGUGGUGAAGGAGCUCCGGGGGAAGAAGACAGCCGUGCACAACGGGCUGGGUGAGAAUGGCUCGCAGGCUGCAGGCCUGGACAUGGAUGUCGGGAAGCAGACCAUGCAAUACCAGGUCCUGAAUGAGGUGGUGAUUGACAGAGGCCCCUCCUCCUACCUGUCCAACGUGGAUGUCUACCUGGACGGACACCUCAUCACCACGGUGCAGGGCGACGGUAAGGCCCGCAGCGCUGUCCUGGGGCCCUGAGCGUCCCUCGGGCGGGAGUGACGCCUGCGCCUGUCCCUGUCAGGAGUGAUCGUGUCCACCCCGACGGGCAGCACGGCGUAUGCGGCCGC
rnacentral:sRNA from 1 species